rnacentral:piRNA from 1 species
UGCGUGUUCAGUUGCCACUAA